rnacentral:lncRNA from 1 species
UUAUAAAAAGUUACUCCCUCCAUCCCACAAUAUAAGAUCGUUUCUCGAAAAACGAUUUUACAUUGUGGGACUGGGGGUAUUAAUGGUACUUCUGCAAAACAUGAGAUCAUAAGAGGUAUAUGCUGGCAUAUGACAAUAUGGUUGUUCUCCACAUAUUUUGGCUUCUAAAAGCAUUAAAAAGGUCAUCGACAAAAGGCUAACCAUCCAAAUUGUAAUCUUUGAGGCCAGUUAGCAGCUGCUGUGCUGUGCCAAAACAGUAGAAAAGAUAUUGAUAACUUCCGACUUCAAUGUGCAUCACUGCCAAAAGAACCAGUAAAAAUUUAAUGGUGUAGUAAAGGAGGACAUGCACAGACAGGAAAAGAGGGCAUGUUUGGAACACAGAAAUGGGAAAAUUUUGCUGCAGAUCAUGUUUCACACAUUUAAAAGGGAGUGAACACAUUCAACCACUACCAGUAGUAGGACCAGAGACCACCAGAGUGAGACGAGCUUAAGCAAAAGCCCGAAUGCACCGAAUUGGCACCCUCCAUGGACCACAAAAUCAUGAGAAGGCAAACUGAACACCACAUGAGGUGAUUUGUGCGUAGCUGCUCUUAAUGAGAUAGGCGAAUGCCAAACUACGACAAUUUAUCAAACUAAACAUAAGAAGGCGACAGGAAUAAAUCAACAAGGAGCCAUAUCAAUAUUCCGUGAGAAUGAAAAGAUCCCAAAGGAGGGGAGAGCACAUUUUUAUACCCUCAGCUCCUCGGUUUAUGUCAGCCAUGUUUGAUCACCAAAGCCCAAGCCAGCCAGCCAGCCAGAUAGAUGAUGCAAAGGGGUACCGAUUCCCACCCCAAACCACCAACCCCUGCUGUUUCAGCCAGAACCCUUCCUCAUUGCUGGGGCUUGGAAUGGCAAGCAUCGAAGGUUAAAGUUAACAAGGACAACACUAUCAAAUGUCAAUACAAGAAAAAAUGAUAAUGGAGGCAAAAAUAGGAACAAAAAAACUGAACAAUAGCAACAAUAAGAAACUGCUUUUAAAUUGGUUCAAUGAAAAUAUUUCACGCCAUCUUACCUUCGAGAAGGUCCACAAAAAGAACCAGAGCCAUAGGUAACGCCAGGUUCACUUUUCAAGCUACAGGCCCACAAUGUACAGAAGAGUACAUACGACUUAAUUUUCAACAUGAGAAAAACACACAAAAGCUGUUCAGGAAAAUCAAGCUGUUUUUUAGAAUACUCACUGAUCCAAUUACUAUAAUAAUCUGACAAAAGAAGUAUAAAACACAGGUAUCAUAACAAACACAUGGCGCACAAGGAAUAGUUCACAAAAUCAAGGAAAAUUUUGGAGUAUUGUUUGAAUGGCUCAGAUUUACCCCACCAUGAAUCACCGAAGUUGGAAAAUGCUUGAGAUAGUAAAACAACAACAAAGCCUUUCAGUCCCAAACAAGUUGGGAUAGGCUAGAUCUGAAACCCAUAAGAUACUGAAACCUACUCAUGGUUCUGGCACAUGGAGAACUUCCAUGCACCUCUGUCCAUGGCUAGUUCUUUGGUGAUAUUCCAGCAAAAAAAAACCUCUCCCUCUUUCUUCACCCAGCAACAAAUAGCCACAACUGGUAACAUGCUGCAGAGCAAGGCCUCCUAGUUUAACGACUAAUUGUCUAGCUGAGUAGAGUUGAACGGAACCAACCUAGGAGAUGUAAAAACAUCUCCAUCUCAGGAUAUGGUGAAAGAUCUCCAGCACCACAAGGGGCACAAAAAUCAUCAUAGCCAUACAGUAAAGAAUAGAACGCAUCAACACACAAUGGAAACAAAUAUGCUGUGUCCAGAAGUUAAUUCGGACUGAUGGUCGCAUUACUGCAAUGAAAGAAGUAACUGACAUUUCUUCACUUCGGACAAAAGGAGUCACUGCAGGCCAAAUAAAAACAGGAUAACAUAAAUUUUCGUGUUUGAACCAGAAGAAAAACAUAAACUUGCCAACCAGGUUAUCACAGCACAGCAUCAACCAAAUGGGAUCCUUUACCCCAAACAGAAAAGGGGAGGUGCCGCUCGCUUGUUUAUCCCAUGAAAAAUGGGGUUCCAAUGCUAAAUAAUCAGGUAUGUGACAUUGGACAGUGGCAUACUAUUCCACCAUGAAACCAAACACAUAUCAGUCCAACCUUUGGCAAAACGAAAACAAAACCAAAGAACACUGAAUAAAUUUGAAAAUAUAUAAGAUACAGAGAAGGGAGACAAUGGCUAAUAUACAGAUCCCAGGUGACCCAAGCAAAAGCACCAAGAGCACCUUCAAUCAUGAUUAGACAAAAUAUAAAAUCUUUUUAAACAAACGAAUGCAAUUGACUGGACACUCAUUUUAAACAACCUGCGAGGAAUCAGUUCCUCGCUAAUGAAUCAAAAUGUGGCAAGUUGACAGCAGCAGCUUAAAAAGAGACUAAUGACCAGCAAAAUAAAUACUACCGUGGUUGUUGCCAACGGGGAUCCCCCAUUCCGAAAGGUAACGGGACCAGCCCUUAGGUCCAAAGUUGUAUGCCACUGCUGUGGUGCUGAUAGAUUCACUACUGAAGCCCCGUUAUCGGACAUUGCAGGCUUAGCAUCUAUUUUUCGUAUAUCGCUCCACCACACCGAGAAGUCUGCUCUGACCAAAAUAAAACUAACGCAGUAUGAGCUUCAGUUCUAAGAAAACGCAGUUAUUGCUGAUCAUAACUUUGUCUUUGAAGAAGCAUCUGGCAGGACAAGACAAGCAAAACAACAGCUUCUCGUUAACCACAUGAAUAGAACAGCCAAUAGCUAAAAACAUUGGAGAAAAAAGGACAAUCCUGUGAUACACAAUCCCUCCGUCCCAUAAUAUAAGAGCGUUUUUUACACUAUAUGUAUUCCCUCCAUAUAUUCAAUGAGAGCUCAGGUGGAGAGGGAUUCAGAAUUAAGGCAGCAGAUUAGGGUGUAAUUGCAUGCGUACCGAUUCAAGCCAAAAAGCGGAACUGUAUCGUGAAAAAUCCAUCGCGGCAGCUCAGAUCUCAGGCCUCCUUUGGUUCAUAGGAUAGGAAUAUCAUAGGAAUAGGAGCCAUAUGAGUUUUCCCAUAGGAAUCAUAUCCUAUAUAAUUCCUACGAAAUUCCUGUAAACCAAAGGAGGCCUCACUGUGGACAGCCGACUUCCCAGGCAUGAGAGGCCACACAGGGUCCCAAUCUUCCACGAUGCCCAACCCAAAACCGCCAGCCCCUGCCGUUUCAGCUGCGGCAACUGCCCGAGGAGGGUCCCAAGCCAAUGCAUCAGUGCAGUGGGCCUGAACAGGAGGGGUGGCCCCAUGAACCAAAGCUCCAAGGCCACCACCAGGGCUAGGGAUGAUGUCUGGGAAGUUUUGUAAGGACAAUGAUGGCAAGCAUCAAUAAUGGUAGUUAAGGAGGACUAUUAUACCAAUGUCAACACAAGGAAAAGUAAUAAUUGGAUGGUAAAAAGAGGGGGGAGGGGGGGUGUUAACAGUAGCAUUAAAAAACUGCUUAAAAUUGGUUCACUAUAAAAAGACUUCACAUCCUCUCACCUUCCCUGAAGGCCAGAAGGUCCACAGACAGAAGGAACCAGAGCCAUAGAUAGGCGGGUUCACUUUUCAAGCUACAGCCCGGAGUGUAGAGUAUAAACGACUUAAUUUUCACCAUGGGAUCAUGACCAUUCACGAUUGCCAACAAGAUAUAGUUUAAAAAAGGCUGUUUAGGAAACCAAGCUGUUUUCUGGAGUAUAUUUCAGAAGUACCCAAUCCUAAAAUUUCUAUAAUCAGGCAGAAGUACAAGUGCGAAGUGUUAGACUCACGUACCAUAACAAAUACAUGAGGAAUCCUCUACUUCUCAAUAGCUACAACCCACUAGCUAAUUUUUAAUAACAUGCAGCCAUGCCACAACAGCACGUAUGGAUGUCAAUCACAAAUCAUAACUUACAUUUAUUUACAUCCAAUUCACGAUCUAAUUUUUCUAAGCAUGCAACCAUGCCACCUAAGGACCUAUGCAUGUCAAUUAUAAGUUGCACCUUUUUGCAUUAAUUUAAAAAUGAAACCGCGCCAUAUUACCAAGCGAUACAUGUCGAUGGCGUUGAUAAGUUAUAUUUUUUGAAUUGUAACAUGUCGACGUCGUUGAUAGGUUACAUUUGUUUAAUUGACUUUUAUAUUGUCAUAUACAGCAUACAUGGUGGAUACUUGAAGCCUAUCUACGUAGUUCAUGAUUUGCACUUUUUAUAGAAACAAAAUGGCAUGUUGCUACAAUGUAAGUCAAGAAUAUUAUUAUUAUCUUGCAUCAGUUUAGUUGUUUUCUAGCACCUAUUAAUACAAUUAUUUUAACGAGGUUCCCACGGCAACACACGGGGGCCAGGGCAUCAUCUAGUAGUUCACAAAAUCCGGGAAAUUUUUGGGGAGUACUACUUGAAUGAAUGGCUCAGAUUUACCUGCCCAUGAAUCACCUUAGUUGGACAAUGCUUCAGGUAGUACCAUAAGGAAUAAAACCUCUCUCUCCACUCAGCAACAAAUAGCCACAACUGGUAACUUGCUGUAGAGCAAGGCCUCCUAGUUUAAUGAUUAACUGUCUAACUGGGCAAAGUUGAAUGGAACCAACCUAGAGACGUGAAAGUGUCUCUAUCUCAGGAUAUGUUGAACGACACCAUGGGGCGGAAAUCAUCAUAGCCAUUCAGAAAAAGAAUAAUUAACAACAACACACAACAGAAACAAAUAUGCUGUGUUCAGAAGUUAAUAUGGAAUACUGCACUGAUGGCCGUAUUACCGGCAAUGAAAGAAGCAAUUGCCAUUUGUUCACUUCAGAUAAAACGAGUGACUGCAAGCCAAAAUAAAAACAGGAGAACAUGAACUUUCUUUUUUGCAACAGAAGAAAGCCAUCAACAGGGUUAGUGCUGCAGGUUACAGUGAACAUAAUGUAAACGAGAAAUAGAAUUGUAGAUUCAGAAUUUAAAAAAAUAUAAUUAAUAAAUUAAUAGAUCAAAUGUAAUUAUUACAAUUGCUGAUGCUUGCGGUGCCGUAGUGCAGCAAAUACAUGAAUGUAAGACCUUCCGCAAAAUAAAAUGCGGUUACGACUAAAUGGGAAUGCUGAGACAAAAAACAGAACAUGCAUAACAAAGGACAUACAGUUGCAAAUAAUAGCAUAGUUUGAUGAAAAGAUGUGAAAUCCUGUUCCUCUUUCUAGGCCCUUCACAACACAAUUUUUUUAUUUAUUCAAACAAAGUAGUCCUUAAUGAUGCAUCUUUAUUUCAAAGCAUUCUGCUGUAAGCAACCAAACUGUUAAGUGGAUUCUUAAUUCCAUGUAAUCUCUCUCCACACUGUUAAGUGGAUUCUUAAUUCCAAUGUUUAACAGUAAUUGUUAGCCGCUAAACCGGUUACUUGUUGUGACACAAGGACUCCUAGAGUCUUAGUUUAGCAUCUACUGAACCAAUUCAGGUAUUAGAUAGAAGCACCCACAUGGAAGCUAUAUCAUCGCAGCCAUUCAUGAACAUGACAUGAAGGAAACAGUAAUCUUGACAUCUGAACUUGCCCUAUAUGACCCUUAAGAUGAAAACCAGUAAAUAAAUGAGGAGUGCCCAAAAGUACAAACUGAUAACUAGAUAAAGAGAACAGUAGCAAAAUGAAAUUAUCAAAAGUCAAAUAGCAAUUGAAACAACCAAACUGAUACAGUACCAAAUAAGAUAAUUUCAAAAAAUACCCAAGGGCAGCAUUAUUAUCACAGCCAUUCAAGGAAAAAUAAUAACAGAAAAGAAAAGGCCCGGAUGCACCAAACUGGUUCCCUCAAUGGACAACAAAAUCAUGGCAAGGCAAACCGAACACCACGAGAGGUGAUUUGUGCGUAGUUGCUCCUAAUGAGAUGGCCCAAUGCUACAACCACGACAAUUCAUCAAUUUAAAACAUAAAAAUGCAAUAGGGAUAAAUAGAUGUGUAGAGGGCACAGUAUUAGUUGCAUUGAGAUUUGAGAGGGCUCAGAUUCGCCUUUGAUAGAUCAUACAACCUGGCUCCAUCUUCUUUCACCAGAUCAACCCCCACCACUGAGGUCGAGCUCCUCUGGUUAUCACUCAGCAGAAUGACCAUCCAAGACAGAGCCGUCAAUAUUCGGUGAGAAUGAUAAGGUGCCAAAAGAGGGGAGAGUAGGUUUUUGAAGCCCACAGCUCCUCGAAUAAUCGAAGACAAGUUUAUGUCAGCCAUGUUUUAUCAUCAUCGCCUCAAAUAGAUAGACAGAUAGAUGGAUGGAUGGGUCGAUGGAUAGAUGGAUGGAUCGAUGGAUACAGGGGGUUAGAUUGUACUGAAGUUUCGGACAUGGUUCAUUUGUGCGAACCUUUACAAAAAGGUCAAAACAGUGAUUUCGGCAGCAACAUGACCAUAGUAUCCAUACAUCCAUACAUACAUGCAUCCAUACAAACAUGCAUGCAUGCCAGAAGUUGGCUGUACUAUUAACCAUGCUCUCAGGAGUUGCUCAUGUCUGGCAUCAGCCGACCAGAGUACCAGACCUCCGGCUCGGACGACGCAUCAGACAACACUGUAUGGUUCCCAGCCCACGCCACAACCGAAUCCAAGGCAAUGGAAUGGCGGUGGCUGACGGCACCAUAGCGUUAGUCCACCCGGACCAUGGGUCAGCAAGUAGGCAAUGACAGCUUGACUGAUUUGUUGUAGGAUAUAUAUAUAUAUAUAUAUAUAUAUAUAUAUAUAUAUAUAUAUAUAUAUAGAGAGAGAGAGAGAGAGAGAGAGAGAGGAGGAG